rnacentral:rRNA from 1 species
AGUCACUGACAUUAGAUACCCCCGUAGUCCAGGGUGUAAACGCUGCAGACUUGGUGUUGGAAGCCCUUUGGGGGCAUUCAGUGCCGGAGAGAAGUUGUUAAGUCUGCUACUUGGGGAGUACGUCCGCAAGGAUGAAACUUAAAGGAAUUGGCGGGGAGCACCGCAACGGGAGGAGCGUGCGGUUUAAUUGGAUUCAACACCGUAAACUCACCAGGGAAGACUGUUACAUGAAAGCCGAGAUGAAGACUCUGCUAGAUUUUCAG